UGCUUGCUGUGCACUAUGACUCACCG
rnacentral:piRNA from 1 species